rnacentral:sRNA from 1 species
UCACUCUUUUCUGUCAACCAA